rnacentral:rRNA from 1 species
CCUUCGGGUUGUAAAGCUCUUUCAGACGGAAAGAAACGGUCACGGCCAACACCCGUGACUAAUGACGGUACCGUCAGGUAAGAACCGCACCGGCUAAACUACCGUGC